GGCGUGAUAUCCAUGAAUGUGUAAGCGCGACUGAACGAAGACGUAGAAAGAAACACACACACAGAGACAGCGCUACAUUGAACUAUAGAUUUUAUUUUCGCACGCGCCGAUAUAUAUACGCCGAACGAGCGGAAACAAACAAGACAG
rnacentral:lncRNA from 1 species